rnacentral:rRNA from 1 species
ACGAAGGGGUCUAGCGUUGCUCGGAAUCACUGGGCGUAAAGCGCACGUAGGCGGGUUGUUAAGUCGGGGGUGAAAUCCUGGAGCUCAACUCCAGAACUGCCUUCGAUACUGGCGACCUUGAGUCCGGGAGAGGUGAGUGGAACUCCGAGUGUAGAGGUGAAAUUCGUAGAUAUUCGGAAGAACACCAGUGGCGAAGGCGGCUCACUGGCCCGGUACUGACGCUGAGGUGCGAAAGCGUGGGGAGCAAACAGG